UACAGAGGGGGCAAGCGUUGUUCGGAAUUACUGGGCGUAAAGGGCGCGUAGGCGGCCUGUUAAGUCGAACGUGAAAUCCCCGGGCUCAACCCGGGAACUGCGUCCGAAACUGGCAGGCUCGAAUUCGGGAGAGGGAUGCGGAAUUCCAGGUGUAGCGGUGAAAUGCGUAGAUAUCUGGAGGAACACCGGUGGCGAAGGCGGCAUCCUGGACCAACACUGACGCUGAGGAGCGAAAGCCAGGGGAGCAAACGGG
rnacentral:rRNA from 1 species